rnacentral:lncRNA from 1 species
ACCAUGCGUGUGCAUGCAUUGACUGUAGUGUUUGGUAGAAGCGCGCGCUUGGCCAUCAGAUCUGCCCCCUCAAUUAAUGAGGGAGAUCUGAUGACACUUGUUUUUUUGUUUUUUUGUUUUUUAUGUUUAAUCCAUUUAUUUUGAUUAAUUCAUAUUAAUUUCAUUUUUAAUCCAAAAAAUAUGUGACUUUCACCAAAAAUCUUUAAAUAUUCUCCUCUUUCAUUUUCUGAAUUAAAAUUAUUUUUUGGAUUAAUUUUGAUAUUUUUCAUGAAUUAAUUGUUUUUGUGCAUAUUUUUAAUUGUUU